ACUCCUACGGGAGGCAGCAGUGGGGAAUAUUGCACAAUGGGGGGAAACCCUGAUGCAGCCAUGCCGCGUGUGUGAAGAAGGCCUUCGGGUUGUAAAGCACUUUCAGUAGGGAGGAAGGUAGUGUAGUUAACACCUGCAUUAUUUGACGUUACCUACAGAAGAAGCACCGGCUAACUCCGUGCCAGCAGCCGCGGUAAUACGGAGGGUGCGAGCGUUAAUCGGAAUUACUGGGCGUAAAGCGCAUGCAGGCGGCCUGUUAAGUCAGAUGUGAAAGCCCGGGGCUUAACCUCGGAAUUGCAUUUGAAACUGGCAGGCUAGAGUCUUGUAGAGGGGGGUAGAAUUUCAGGUGUAGCGGUGAAAUGCGUAGAGAUCUGAAGGAAUACCAGUGGCGAAGGCGGCCCCCUGGACAAAGACUGACGCUCAGA
rnacentral:rRNA from 1 species